UGGCUCAGAGGUUAAAGCGUCUGCCUGCAAUGCAGGAGACCUGGGUUCGAUCCCUCG
rnacentral:tRNA from 1 species